ensembl:lncRNA
AAAGCACAAGAGCCAGCCUUAUUCACAGGCUGGUGACGUCAGGACGCGACUAGACCAAUCAGGGCUCCGCCAUGCCAAGUAACCAUUAGCUAUCCCAUCAAAGCACAGCCAGGGCACCACCGUGCUAUUUAUGCUGAACUGAAGAUACCAAUUCAAAAAAUUUCCCUGAAACUGUCAUAUGCUAGCGAAUGUGUUUGGAGGAAGGAGUCGACCACGAUCGUCAAGGAAAAUGCGCGCUUCAUUCAGGUGAUAAAAUUCGGUCGUGGGCGCGGGAACAUCAGGACGGCUACAACAAGCGGAUAAAUACAGCACUUCGCUAUGGCUUCCGGUACCAAGGCCUCGGUAGCCCGCCUGCAUUCAGAGGCACCAACGAGCUCGUUGACUUUGGCCAUGUCGGCCAGACAAAUUCUUCAAUUCUGGACACCUUUAUGAGUCUGCAUGCGCUCACCGAAUUUGAUCGAAGAGGACACAAAUCCGUCGUAUGGGAUUGGCAGUCAUGCCCCGGGUCUUUCUCGGGCCGACGCGCUCGGGAUGUAAAGUGGUCGUCAAUGGCACGACCUCGGUCGAGAGGGCUCAACGGAUUUCGAGAUAAUGACAUUGCCGCCUCUAUUAAGAUUCACAUUAACCGUUUCAUGAUGCGACCCCAUUUCCUAUUGUUCUAGCCCCAGUGUCAAAAGCCUCCCGGCUUUACGCUGCAUAUGGUAAUAUUUAGAACUGGCCAAACACCCCUCACUGCCUACAUCCACUCAAACACUAUCAUUGGGAAGUAAGAAAAAAAGCAAAAAAUCGGAAGAUGGCACAGGUGGGAGUUACUGGAGAGUUGUCUAUAUGCAAAGAGUCAAAUAGAAAAGUCCCACUUGAUGAGAACAUGCCUCUUUAAACAUUCAUGGAACAAACUAUUUCCUUGCAAAUAGAUUCCCCCCCACCUACACCAUAUUCCCAGAUAUCCCCUCUGUUCCAUAUUGGAACAAACAGACAGCAAUAUGAUUAUCUUUUGUUAUUCACCGACUGAAAUACAUCUACACUUAGUGACCCCCUUUCUGCACACGCACGCACGCACGCACGCACGCACGCACGCACGCACGCACGCACGCACGCACGCACGCACACACACACACACACACACACACACACACACACACACACACACACACACACACAUACACACACAAAAACACACACAAACAGACAGAGAGAGAGGGGGGGGACAGACGAGAGUCAGAGAGAGCGAGAGAGAGAGAGAGAGAGAGAGAGAGAGAGAGAGAGAGAGAGGGAUAGAGAGAGAGAGAGAGAGAGAGAGAGAGAGAGAGAGAGAGAGAGAGAGAGAGAGAGAGAGAGAGAGAGAGAGAGAGAGAGAGAGAGGGAGAGGGAGAGGGAGAGAGAGAGAGAUCCAAACCCCCUGCACCCUCCCCUGCUGUUUCCAGAGCUGUGUCUGUAGGAGGGAGGCCAGAUUGUUUGCCUCCCCACACGUAGAGCCUGCAUGACGGGGAGCAAUACAACGACUGCUCCCUGCCUGAAUCCUGGCGCCAUCAGGUCGGAGCAACGGGGGGCCCAACACACGGGAAGUUUGUGUUUUUCUGUGUGAUAAGAGAUAGAGAGAUAGCGUACUGACAUAGAGACAGAUACAUAGAGAGAUAGAUGUAUAGAUAGAUGUAUAGAUAAAUG